GAUGAACGCUGGCGGCGUGCCUAAUACAUGCAAGUCGAGCGAACAGACGAGGAGCUUGCUCCUCUGACGUUAGCGGCGGACGGGUGAGUAACACGUGGAUAACCUACCUAUAAGACUGGGAUAAAUUCGGGAAACCGGAGCUAAUACCGGAUAAUAUAUUGAACCGCAUGGUUCAAUAGUGAAAGACGGUUUUGCUGUCACUUAUAGAUGGAUCCGCGCCGCAUUAGCUAGUUGGUAAGGUAACGGCUUACCAAGGCAACGAUGCGUAGCCGACCUGAGAGGGUGAUCGGCCACACUGGAACUGAGACACGGUCCAGACUCCUACGGGAGGCAGCAGUAGGGAAUCUUCCGCAAUGGGCGAAAGCCUGACGGAGCAACGCCGCGUGAGUGAUGAAGGUCUUCGGAUCGUAAAACUCUGUUAUUAGGGAAGAACAAAUGUGUAAGUAACUAUGCACGUCUUGACGGUACCUAAGCAGAAAGCCACGGCUAACUACGU
rnacentral:rRNA from 1 species